rnacentral:rRNA from 1 species
CUUAAAUUGAAGAGUUUGAUCAUGGCUCAGAUUGAACGCUGGCGGCAGGCCUAACACAUGCAAGUCGAGCGGCAGCGGGAAGUAGUUUACUACUUUGCCGGCGAGCGGCGGACGGGUGAGUAAUGUCUGGGGAUCUGCCUGAUGGAGGGGGAUAACUACUGGAAACGGUAGCUAAUACCGCAUGACCUCGCAAGAGCAAAGUGGGGGACCUUAGGGCCUCACGCCAUCGGAUGAACCCAGAUGGGAUUAGCUAGUAGGUGGGGUAAUGGCUCACCUAGGCGACGAUCCCUAGCUGGUCUGAGAGGAUGACCAGCCACACUGGAACUGAGACACGGUCCAGACUCCUACGGGAGGCAGCAGUGGGGAAUAUUGCACAAUGGGCGCAAGCCUGAUGCAGCCAUGCCGCGUGUGUGAAGAAGGCCUUCGGGUUGUAAAGCACUUUCAGCGAGGAGGAAGGGGUUGAGUUUAAUACGCUCAAUCAUUGACGUUACUCGCAGAAGAAGCACCGGCUAACUCCGUGCCAGCAGCCGCGGUAAUACGGAGGGUGCAAGCGUUAAUCGGAAUUACUGGGCGU